AAGAUAAGCUAAAACUUUCUCCCUAGCCCCCAUCAAGAUAUAUUUUGCAGAAUAAAAUUUAUCAACUAAAUAUUAUUCAGUUGACUUAAGCCAGUAAAGGAAAAUAUUCAUCUUAAAAAUGUGUGAAAAUGUAGAGAUUUGAUCCUUGUUCAACAGAAAAGUAGAGUCUAAUCUAUUGAUUUUUUCUUGUAGUUGAGCCUGGUGAAAUGACAAACCUGAUGAGUGUGAUCGUGAGCAGCGUGACUCUUGUUCUCACUAAGGUCAUCAUUGGACUUGUCAUCAAAAUGAGUCAACUUCAGACAGAAUCUGCACUCUGAUGACCAGAAAGAUGCAGCACUGACUGCCAAUCCAAAAAAGAGAAAGAAGCAGAAACUCAACCUCCAUUCUACUGCAACUAGACUAAGGGAGAGACUUGAAAUGUAGUCCUGAUCCAGGACCGCCAUGCCACAUAUCACAUUCCUGGAUGGCCAGACAUUUCAGUCACUCAGGGGCUCAUAGAAUUUGUUAAAAUGGAACGUUAAAAAUAUGAGCUCACUGGAUGGCAGGCUAUCUUCACCAAAUAAUGAGUAAAAGAAGAGUUGAGGUCUGCCACAGUGGAGGAAUGAGUGAGGUAUACAUCGCUUCUUUGACGGGAAGAGACAGCACAGUGUGGUCUGAACACAUCAUGAUACAGUCACAAAUCUGUAAGAAAUUCUAAACAGAAAAAGUGAACACUGGCCUUGUCGCUUUGGUCAUAAGGAUAAAUUACAAUCUGUAUAUUUGUACUGAAUAUGCACUAGUGAAUGAAAACAACAGAUGACCUCACACAGUACUUCUCAUCGACACUAAAGGCAUCUACAGUGGAUCAACACAUUAAUCACAGUAAUUAGGAUGAAUAUCCAUCCAUGGCCAUCAUGGACCCCCAAAGAAGCAGAAUACUUUUGGCAAUAUUGGUAACCGUGCAACAAAUGUUUCCAGGAACAUUUAGGUCAUUACAUUUCCCUUACAUUAGUCCCAUUAAACACCAUAGGGAUAGACACAACAUCCAAGCAUUCAUUCAUCCA